UCUUUAUCCAGUCAUACAGCAGGGGUGACAGAAAAACAUUCUCAGGACUCAUACAACUCACUGUCAAUGGACAUAAUAGGUGAUCCUUCUCAAGCUUAUACCGGUUCUGAAGCCAACUUUAGGGUGAAUACUAUACCUCCACUCAGCAGAUAAGGAAACUGAAGCUUAGAGAAGUUAAAUAAUUUGCCCAAGGAGCUGGAGUGACAUGUGAACCCAGGUCUCUGACUCCAAACUAGAGCCUGAAUUCCUAAAUAUUAUGGUCUACUGCCCUUUUGAUGCAAUCCUGCUGUUGGCAGUGAAAAUAAGCUGCCACGGAAGCCUUCUAGCAGACUACUAAGGAGGUGGCGAAAGCAUUAAGAUCUAAGUCCCUGAUGAAA
rnacentral:sRNA from 1 species